GACGAACGCUGGCGGCGUGCUUAACACAUGCAAGUCGAACGGAAAGGCCCUGCUUUUGUGGGGUGCUCGAGUGGCGAACGGGUGAGUAACACGUGAGUAACCUGCCCUUGACUUUGGGAUAACUUCAGGAAACUGGGGCUAAUACCGGAUAGGAGCUCCUGCUGCAUGGUGGGGGUUGGAAAGUUUCGGCGGUUGGGGAUGGACUCGCGGCUUAUCAGCUUGUUGGUGGGGUAGUGGCUUACCAAGGCUUUGACGGGUAGCCGGCCUGAGAGGGUGACCGGCCACAUGGGGACUGGGAUACGGCCCAGACUCCUACGGGAGGCAGCAGUGGGGAAUAUUGCACAAUGGGCGGAAGCCUGAUGCAGCAACGCCGCGUGCGGGAUGACGGCCUUCGGGUUGUAAACCGCUUUCGCCUGUGACGAAGCGUGAGUGACGGUAAUGGGUAAAGAAACACCGGCUAACUACGU
rnacentral:rRNA from 1 species